UUUCUUCUUUUACUUGUUCAGUCAGUUGACUGCGGCCAUGCUGGAGCACCACCUAGAAUGGUUUUGGUCAAACAAAUCAAGACUUAUUCUUUAUAAGCCUAG